rnacentral:piRNA from 1 species
CUCUUGAGGUGCCUGGCUCUGAAGC